rnacentral:rRNA from 1 species
GACGAACGCUGGCGGCGUGCCUAAUACAUGCAAGUCGAGCGGACGGAUGGGAGCUUGCUCCCAGACCGUCAGCGGCGGACGGGUGAGUAACACGUGGGCAACCUGCCUGUAAGACUGGGAUAACUCCGGGAAACCGGGGCUAAUACCGGAUAACUCUUUCCCUCACAUGAGGGAAAGCUGAAAGAUGGCAUCUCGCUAUCACUUACAGAUGGGCCCGCGGCGCAUUAGCUAGUUGGUGAGGUAACGGCUCACCAAGGCGACGAUGCGUAGCCGACCUGAGAGGGUGAUCGGCCAAACUGGGACUGAGACACGGCCCAGACUCCUACGGGAGGCAGCAGUAGGGAAUCUUCCGCAAUGGACGAAAGUCUGACGGAGCAACGCCGCGUGAGUGAUGAAGGUUUUCGGAUCGUAAAACUCUGUUGUCAGGGAAGAACAAGUACCGGAGUAACUGCCGGUACCUUGACGGUACCUGACCAGAAAGCCACGGCUAACUACGUG